GGGCACCACCAGGAGUGGAGCCUGCGGCUUAAUUUGACUCAACACGGGGAAACUUACCCGGCCUGGACACUGGGAAGGAUUGACAGAUUGAGAGCUCUUUCUUGAUUUGGUGGGUGGUGGUGCAUGGCCGUUCUUAGUUGGUGGAACGAUUUGUCUGGUUAAUUCCGAUAACGAACGAGACUCUAGCCUAUUAAAUAGGCUCCCGGGUUUUAAACGCCGGGAGGACUUCUUAGAGGGACAGGUGGCGGUUCAGCCGCACGAAAGAAAGCAAUAACAGGUCUGUGAUGCCCUUUGUUGUCCGGGGCCGCACGCGCGCUACACUGAAAAGAUCAGCGUGCUUUAUGUUCCUGCUCCGACCGGAGUGGGGAACCCAGUGAACCUUCUUCGUGAUUGGGAUAGAAGAUUGUGAUUAUUCUUCUUGAACGAGGAAUUCCCAGUAAAUGCGAGUCAUAAGCUCGCGUUGAUUACGUCCCUGCCCUUUGUACACACCGCCCGUCGCUACUACCGAUUGAACGAUUU
rnacentral:rRNA from 1 species